ensembl:lncRNA
CACUAAAUAUGCUAAUUUAAUCAUUUUUAGUUGUGAGAAAAUUGAUGAAGCAACUUUAACGUUUGGCAUUAGUGUUGUCUUGCAUUCUAUCCCCAUGAGCACUGUGAUUAUUGCCCAGUUGGACACUUAAUGCCCAUUAUUUGUCUGGCCACUCAGUGGGAAUCUGCUUUCACUAUUAUUGGCCUCUUGGCAACUUCAGACAUUUGAUAACUUUUUGCCCCUCUCAAAACUUUCAUAACUAGAAGCAUGCUGAGAUUUAUGCUACUAAACAAUGUUUUUCUUACAGUGAUUAUGCCACCCUUUCUCGCUCUGCGGGGUCUGCGAUUGCUCUUUAAUCAAACCGUCUCCAUGAAUCAUGAAGCCUGGAGUCCUCACAUCGUCUUGGCUGCAUGCUGUUUACUGGCAUGCUGUGAGCCAGACACCACAAGCUGGGGCACAUGCACAUACACACAAAUAUGAUGGCUAACAUACACACAAUUAACUUGUUCACUGAGCAUCAGGCUGACUGUGAAGUGUGUGGGUGAGAGCAUGCUUUUGGAAUUUGGGCAUGCAUACCCUUGUUACAUGGUUUCCCAGCUGCAUGCCUGCAUUUGCUGCUUGGAUUCAUGCAUUUACAAGUGUGUGCCUGUGUCUUAAAGGGUGAGUGUUUGUACAAUACAUAUGUAUGUCCCUACAAGCCAGCCUGUGAUGUCUACAUCGCAGUGGGGCAGCAAUUUUACCGCUGAGCUGAUGUGAGAAUUUCUAUAUCUCCAUCCUGCUUUCAGUUCCAGAUGGGACUCAAUUUCCUCUGCCCAUAUUGGUUCAUAAUGACAUAUUUUGAUUAUCUUAGCAUGGGGAGCCACAUCAACCCUUGGCAUUACUGCCGUGGAGAAAUAAAGAGAUUGCGACUCAAAUAAAAAUGCAGAAAUGGAGGAGUAGCUCUUUAUUUGGCAUCCUCAUUUGAAUUUGGAUUUGUUGGGUAAUGUGCUUGCAACAUCAAAACUUAAAAACUUCCCCAAAAUAUAAACAGAUAAUUCAUCACUUUAAUCAGACAAGUUUUUCUGAUGCACUCAGAGCUUAAACAAGUUUAGUGUAUGCUGGAUAAAAAGUGUUUGCAGAGAAUUAUAUGACAAUAUUCCUAAAAAUGUUCUAAUAUCUAUCUAUAGAUACCAGAAGUCAGUAUUAAUAAGUUUGAUUAAUCCCAUCCUAUAGGGGGUUGUUGACAAUGAUAAUUUCAGGAAUUGACAAUGCUCACCUGCUACAUCCUGUCAAUCAAUGCAAUGGAACCAGAUGUUGGCAUUUUAGCCACGGAGGACAAGUGUGCAAAUUUUACACCAUAAAAAUACGUUUUUAUUUAUAGUAAACUCUGAUGACAGAUUGACUAAAAUUUGGCAGUAGCAGUAGCAUCUGUUAAUGAAUUUAAUGAUCUCAGAAAUAUUAAAUCUGGUUAACUUAAACCUGAUAUGCUUCCAUUAAUGUGGCAGUUUGACUCUAAGGGUCAUGGCAACUUUGUAUACUCCAGCUCUAUCAGGGAAGUUAAGAAGCACAAAACAGCAACAGCCAACCUGAUGGGGAUAUCUAUUACAGCCAUCGGAAUGACUACAUUAAAGGGAAAACAGACAAACCUUAAAAAUCCAUUAUUAGGCAAAAACUUUAAUACCACAUGAUUUUGACAUUAAGCUGUACUUUGAGUUUAAUGUUUAGCAUUUUAGUAUUGUUGCCUAAUGCUUAUAAGGAUGCUGAUGCUAGCAUUUUGGGAGCACAUCUGUGCCUUGCUAGAGCCUCAGUGAGCCACUAGCAUGGCUGUGGCCUUGUUUAAAAUUCAUCACAUCUGUUUUCAUGUCUCCUGAAACAACCCGCCGCUAUGAGAAACCUUGUCCAAAGAAAAAGAAGUGUACCUUUUUUGGAACCUGGUACACAAUGAGCACACUGCACGAAAGUAAAUGCCUGCCUUGGUCUGUCAACUCCAAAAUAGGCCUGUCUCUCUUAAUACUUGAGCUACCCAGGCUGAGUGAUGCAGGUAUUUCUUUCCUGUUUCCUGUUUUCCAGUUGGCAAAGCACCAGUUGUUGUCGGUCCAGUUGUAAGUCAGGGUCGGCUGUUAUUUUCAGCUUAGACAUUUCUCCGCUAGCUAAGUGUCAGGCAGGCAGUGAACCCUGAUAGGACCUCUCACAACUGACAGUCAGUCUAAUCACAUCUUAACAAAGUUCCAUCUAAGCCUGUGUAUGAGUGUCUCUGUGUGUGUAUGUGUGUGUGUGGACUGAGAGAAAGUGAGAGUGAUCUCUCUUUCUUGCAGGGCUUACUCUGAGGGCAGGCUUCACAGCAAGUGAAAGCUGUCAUAUUUCAACUCCACCUCUCCCAUCAGUACCUCUGUAUCAGACAGAGUUCACGAAGCACGUGCCCACACAUACAAAAAGAUAGCAGACACACACACUCUUACCCCUUUCUUCGUCCCACCAUCCCCUCUAUCUCUCCCACACACACACACACACACACACACACACACACACACACACACACACACACACACACACACACACACACACGAUGUGGCUGCCUGCACAGGGGAGCGCCUGGUAUUUGCUGCAGGGUGAUUGCAGGUGGAUCAUGGCAUUGGCAGGGCUUUAGAGGUGUGCAGUUGCGUGGGAGUCGCAGUGUGGGGCUCAUUCGUUGCUGCCAGGCGUCUCCUCUAACGUUAAGAGAUCUGCGAGGAGCAGAUCUAGGUGAUUAAGAGCUCAAAAGACGACUGGCAGCUCAGCGUCAAGACAAGCCUUUGUGUCUCUGUCAUGCUGGAUGAUUUAAGAAUCGAGUAAAGACCUGUGUAUAUAUGGCUCACGCAUAACUAAACCUCCUCAGCUCUGGCGAACCCUCACCCCCGAUCCUUGCCCAUCACAUGCUCCCAGCCUGUCUCUCAUUAGCUUUUCUGCUAUCCAUCUCCAUCUUUUUUUUAAAAACAUUUUCUUCACCUCACCUUACCUUCCUCUUCCUCUCCCCCUUCGCUGUCUCACCUCUCACUUCUUUCAUCUCAUUACCCUUGCUUAUGCUUUUGUAAACUCUGGAAAGUUUGUAGUGUUUGGCUUUUGAAGCGCCUAAAUCACUUUAUAAUGCCGCAUGCUGUGUGUUUUCUCUCUGCUGUGUCACAGCUGUUGUAUAUGCAUGUCUCAAAAUUCAUUUUUUAAUUAAAAGAUCAGGAAUCUUCCGGGGUGUUUAAAUUUGUGAGAAAGCAAAAAAACAAACAAAAAACCCCAGAAGUGUCCCUUGACCCCUCUCGACUGAGAAUCAUCGAUUACGUGAGCGUUUUGUUUUAAAAACAUUGCACCAUCCCUGUUUGUCAUACUGCAGCAGAGGCAGCACUUAUUCCCCUUGGCUGCUCAAGCACCACUUUUACAAAAUAUAGUCCACCUGUUCAUUUGCUGAUUACAUGAAUGCACUGAUUUGCUAAGCAUAUUUCGAGCAUUUUUUUACUCAUCCCCCUAAGCGCAUAGAACCUUGAAUGUGGACAUUUUCUUAUUUAUUUAUUUUUUGUUUGCUUUUUUGCUCAUACCAGCUUAUUCUCGCUCUUGAUCUCUCUCUGGUGCAUAAAGGUUUUCUGAGCGUCCCUGCUCAGAUCCAUUGAGUAAAAAGCUUUUACUUAACGUAUUUUCUCCUUGAGGCUAUGAAUAUUAUUGAUCUGUGUGUUUGCUGCAACUCUCUCUCAUCUAUCUUCCUUUGAGCGGCCGGUUUCUCAUCAUUUUCCCCUGAAAUGUAAGAAUUGAUUAGAAUCCUUGGGGCCCUGUAGGCACCAGCUGCAGCCAUGCCCACCUGCCUAACCUCGUGACCUUGAGCAAACAGCAUCCAAGUGGCUGGAAAUGGACUGAGCUCCUUUUAUUGUAUC